ACCCUACGGGGGGCAGCAGUGGGGAAUAUUGCACAAUGGGGGAAACCCUGAUGCAGCGACGCCGCGUGGGCGACGAAGCGCUCCGGCGCGUAAAGCCCUGUCAGCAGGGAAGAAAAAAGACAGUACCUGACCAAGAAGCCCCGGCUAACUACGUGCCAGCAGCCGCGGUAAUACGUAGGGGGCAAGCGUUAUCCGGAUUCACUGGGUGUAAAGGGAGCGUAGACGGUGCAGCAAGUCUGAUGUGAAAGGUCGGGGCCCAACCCCGGGACUGCAUUGGAAACUGUUGAACUGGAGUACAGGGGGGG
rnacentral:rRNA from 1 species